rnacentral:rRNA from 1 species
ACAGAUAAGGAGCUUGCUCCUUUGACGUUAGCGGCGGACGGGUGAGUAACACGUGGGUAACCUACCUAUAAGACUGGGAUAACUUCGGGAAACCGGAGCUAAUACCGGAUAACAUUUGGAACCGCAUGGUUCUAAAGUGAAAGAUGGUUUUGCUAUCACUUAUAGAUGGACCCGCGCCGUAUUAGCUAGUUGGUAAGGUAACGGCUUACCAAGGCGACGAUACGUAGCCGACCUGAGAGGGUGAUCGGCCACACUGGAACUGAGACACGGUCCAGACUCCUACGGGAGGCAGCAGUAGGGAAUCUUCCGCAAUGGGCGAAAGCCUGACGGAGCAACGCCGCGUGAGUGAUGAAGGGUUUCGGCUCGUAAAACUCUGUUAUUAGGGAAGAACAAACGUGUAAGUAACUGUGCACGUCUUGACGGUACCUAAUCAGAAAGCCACGGCUAACUACGUGCCAGCAGCCGCGGUAAUACGUAGGUGGCAAGCGUUAUCCGGAAUUAUUGGGCGUAAAGCGCGCGUAGGCGGUUUCUUAAGUCUGAUGUGAAAGCCCACGGCUCAACCGUGGAGGGUCAUUGGAAACUGGGAAACUUGAGUGCAGAAGAGGAAAGUGGAAUUCCAUGUGUAGCGGUGAAAUGCGCAGAGAUAUGGAGGAACACCAGUGGCGAAGGCGACUUUCUGGUCUGUAACUGACGCUGAUGUGCGAAAGCGUGGGGAUCAAACAGGAUUAGAUACCCUGGUAGUCCACGCCGUAAACGAUGAGUGCUAAGUGUUAGGGGGUUUCCGCCCCUUAGUGCUGCAGCUAACGCAUUAAGCACUCCGCCUGGGGAGUACGACCGCAAGGUUGAAACUCAAAGGAAUUGACGGGGACCCGCACAAGCGGUGGAGCAUGUGGUUUAAUUCGAAGCAACGCGAAGAACCUUACCAAAUCUUGACAUCCUUUGAAAACUCUAGAGAUAGAGCCUUCCCCUUCGGGGGACAAAGUGACAGGUGGUGCAUGGUUGUCGUCAGCUCGUGUCGUGAGAUGUUGGGUUAAGUCCCGCAACGAGCGCAACCCUUAAGCUUAGUUGCCAUCAUUAAGUUGGGCACUCUAGGUUGACUGCCGGUGACAAACCGGAGGAAGGUGGGGAUGACGUCAAAUCAUCAUGCCCCUUAUGAUUUGGGCUACACACGUGCUACAAUGGACAAUACAAAGGGCAGCUAAACCGCGAGGUCAUGCAAAUCCCAUAAAGUUGUUCUCAGUUCGGAUUGUAGUCUGCAACUCGACUACAUGAAGCUGGAAUCGCUAGUAAUCGUAGAUCAGCAUGCUACGGUGAAUACGUUCCCGGGUCUUGUACACACCGCCGCGUCACACCACGAGAGUUUGUAACACCCGAAGCCGGUGGAGUAACCA